rnacentral:lncRNA from 1 species
GGUCCAGUUUCCUUUCAAAAGCCAGGAGAUCCAUGUAGGCCUGUGAUUCUGGGACCAGUUCCCGAAUCUUAGGAACAGAAAGACAGAGAUGGGAUGGGGCAGCCCUCGUUCUGACCACUUCUAUUCUCAAAGCCACUACCCCUUCAAGGAGACCUCUGCAGCUGCACUCACCCUUUGAGCCAAGGCCUACGAAAUGACUCUCCAUUUAAAGACGCUACCUCUCCCAUGACCACCAAAACUCCACUGCAUCAUGAGGCCCUGUUAGUCCCUGCAGCACCGUUUGGUGCCACAGCGCUGACUUCCUGGUUCUGCAUGCCCACCACCAGCAUCCUCACAGGCCUCCUCUCCCCCAUACCCUUCUUUCCUUCACCCCCAGGGGUCAUCUUACUUGUGAUUUCGAUUUUGGACCGCCUGCUGCUGGACCUGCUGGAUCUGUUGAGCUAUAACAGCCUGGGUAUUCCUGGGGACACGGGGGCUGCCCACUCCCCUCUGCAUUCCAUGACCAUCCCAGGGCCCACUUCGCCCACCCUGGUUCCACACUCACUCCUCACAUGGAAACAAUGCCGCCAGGAGCAGGUAAGGAUGCUAACCUCCUCCCCCCCCACACACCUCCACUCCCGGCCCGAGCCCCUCCCCAGGGAGUCCCUCCCACUUCUCCCUCACCCCUGUCAGUCCUCCGCCCUCGCUCGGCCCCGCCCCCGGCCCGCGCGCCCCUCCUCCUGUCCCACUCACCGGAUAGGCCGCCCCGGGCAUCGGAGAGCGGUACAGCCCUUGACCCGGCGCCGGGCCCAUUCGCACGGGAGGCCCGGGAGUUCCGCCCGGGCCCAGAGCAGCCGCCACGCCCGCUCCUCCUGAGGCUCCCGCGCCGCCGCUCGGAGCCACAGACUGGAAACCCGCCCGGGCCGCCAUCUUCCCGGAGCCGCCGCUGCAGCUGCACAAAGAACCGGAACCGGAACUCCCCCCGCCCCCCGCGCGCCCCCCGAGCGCCUGGGCUGUUUGUGGGCCCGGCCCGCCGGCGGGCACAGGCGGCUCGGAGCAGCGAGACUACGGGCUAGAGGGGGCGACUAGCGGGAAAGGCGUGCUGACCACUCCCUCCCGCCUUCACGGGCCAGGAGGGAGCACCAUAGAGAAGCGGUGUGCGGAUAAAGAGGUGCCGGGAGCGAGCGCCUCCACGCGGUUGGAGGACGGUAAAAAGCCUUGCAGAGAGCCCAGCCCAUCCGGCUGGCGGCUGGAGUGAUGCUUCACCUUGGCCCAGUGCAUUUACCUCUCCAAAGCAUUCUGGUUGCCUUGCUUUUCGUUCUCCUACUGCUCAGACUCCGGGUACUAAAGAGGAAAACGUGCUGUUUGUUCGUUCGGGAAAAGUAGAACUCGAAGGAGAUCAAUGUCGUGGCAAAGACAAAUCAGCAAGAGAAAACCCAUGCCGGGCCGUGGUGGCGCACGCCUUUAAUCCCAGCACUUGGGAGGCAGAGGCAGGCGGAUUUCUGAGUUCGAGGCCAGCCUGGUCUACAGAGUGAGUUCCAGGACAGCCAGGGAUACACAGAGAAGGCUCGGGACCCUUCACCUCAGACGUUUAACUUAAGAUUUUGAUGCGUUUUUUCCCGUGACUUUUCUCCAAAGAGUCCUGGAUAUUUGUUGCCAUAGAUAACUGCUGGUCCCCUGCCCAGUGAUCAGACGAAUCCUGAGCCUGUCUUUUCCCAGCAGGAUCAGUGUUUACCUGAUCAAGUAUGUAGGGUCUGGUGUAGCCCAAUCUAGCGUUAAACUCACUGUGUAAUGGAAGAUAGCUGCUCCAUCUCCUACCUGCUGGAAUUACAGGUAUAACCACCA